AUGAGCAGAGUUAAGCACCGCUUCUUUGUUCUGGUGUCCCUCUCUGUGUCCAGCAGAGCCAGAGUGAGAGUGCCUCAAGGUCAAAUUCUAGUAAGCCUCCAAAUUAUUCUAGUACAGCAGCUCAGAGGAUGUCAUGAACGUAAGGAUCAACCUGCCGAGUCAUUAUCUGGUGAGCUAGAAAACUGUCCCGUUUACGACUGGAAGAAGGCAUUUCCCACAACAGCUUCAAGACUUGCUCUAGCUCCUGGGAGGAUCCCAAGGUCACAGGAGAGGAAACAUGCACGCCCAUGCCACAUUCAUGGAGGAGGACAGCGGUAG
rnacentral:lncRNA from 1 species